CAUGAAGAAGUAAGUUUAUGUUAAUAUUACAUAAAUAAGGCAAUUUAAAAUAGUUUGUUGUGGGAAAAAAAAUAUUAAAAUAGCUUAAUAUGAUGUGUGAGAAUUAAAACGGCACGAUAAUUCUCGUCAGGUGUUAAAUGUGUAUUCCCGCCUUUAGCUUAGCGUUAGCUUAUCGUUAGCUUAGCGUUAGCUAAGCCAUAGCAUGAAGAAGUAAGUUUAUGUGAAUAUUACAUAAAUAAGGCAAUUUAAAAUAGUUUGUUGUGGGACAAAAAUAAAUGGCCAUCUUCAACAUUUUCUGAGAUUUCUAAUUUGUCUUUUUCUACUUGUGCAGAUGGAGUCAUGAAAUGUGACGGGACAGCCACCGAGGACUUAAUACUUCGGAGCAUCUCAAACAUGCACCACAAAGACGUGGAGGACACACCGCUGUCUCUCAGGACCUAGAAUCUUAAUGAAAGUAUAAUGAUGUUAAGGGAAGGUGUAAUGGAAAGGUGUGAUAGUGUUGAGGGAAGGUGUAAUGUUAAAGGUGUGAUAGUGUUGAGGGAAGGUGUAAUAGUGUUGAGGGAAGGGGUAAUGUUAAAGGUGUAAGUUAAUAGUGUUAAGGGAAGGUAUAAUAUUGUUAAGGGAAGGUGUAAUGCAGGGGUCUCAAACUCAUUUUUGACGAGGGCCACAUUGACAUAUUGGCUGUCCUCUGAGGGCCAGAUGUAACUUAUAAAUAUAAGAAAAUGUAACCAGAUGUAAUAUAAAAUGAAUGUAAUUACUCCUUAAUGUUAAAUAACUCUCAAUAUACUAUUUAUUCAAUCAAAUAUUACAGUUGCAUGGAAAAAUGUUUGCUUGUUGCUCUAUUAACAUAAAUCCUUUUAAUUUGUCAUGUUAUGAAAUCCAAAAACUCCAUCAAUCAAGAACCAAACUAUUCAAGUGAAUAGAAAUUACAUCAAGUACAAGUUAUAUUAACUUUGAUCAAAACGUUUGAUACUGAAAUAAGGCUUAAUAAAUAUAAAAUCAAAAAUUGUGAGCUGUGACAGAUUUAGCAUUUCCUCAGAUUUAGCAGUUCCUCAUCCAACCACUAGUCGGAGCUGCAGCUGCAGCACCACAAGCCCGCAGUCUUUGCUUAGUCAGAGCUACAGCCCAGCCACGGGCUACAGGACUCAGCUGAGCCUGUCUGGAGCGUUUUGAAAUUUUUUAAGUUCUUCUGUGUAUGAAAUAAAAUAACCCCACUAACCGGAUAAUACAGCUCUCUACAGUUCAUCUUUCAGCCCAAGCAGCUAACAGCAGCAGUUUAGAGCAGCGUCACGGAGGCACUGCUCGGAUUACAUUAUAAACAGGUCAGUUAGCGCGCUGCUAACCUCAGGAUGUUUAUAACUACGGAGUUUAGUGGACACACCACGGCAGCAAGGUUAGACUGUUGAAGGCUACUGAAGACUACUAAAGCAGGCAACGCAGCGUAAGCAAAAAAAAAAACAAAAACCACACACACACACCAAAAUACAAGUUAAGAUAAAAUAUGAAAA